UGAUUUUCGCAAGCCUUACCCAAUUUUGUCGUUUCUUCUUCUUCAUCACUAUAUUUCUUUUUUAUUCUUCUUCAUCACUCGGCUUCUUCUGGCCAUUUAAAUAGGUGAGCUAUGAUUUGAUUUUUUUCUUUUGGUUUCAGAUUUCUUUGCUUUUUCCUCUAAAACCGUAUGAAAGGGAUUUUACAAUAGCUUCUAAGAUUUUGAUGCGGGAUUUGGAGGUAAUUGAUUUUCUUUUUAAAAUUUUCUAGAAAGUUUCAUGGUUUCGCUCUUUAAUAGUGUGGCCAUCUUCAAAUGCAGAAAAAUCCAUAAUCCUCCUUGUAACGUUAAUGGAUGUCUGUUUGGGUGAUUUUGGCAUUUUUAGAUUAUGUCUCUCACAUCAUAUUGCUCUUUGUCUCUGCAUUUCGUGUGUUCUGCGUCGUUAUCUGCUAUACAGGAAAAUAAAUCUUAUUCUUUAACUUGGAUUAUAUGUUAUGGCAUGUGAACUCUACAACAAUUGUCUAUGUUGCGGCAUGUGAGAGGUUCGGAUUUUUUGAUGUUCUGGAUUCAACUCUUUGGUGCUCUAAUUUGGAAAGAAUUUUAGCAACACCAAAACCUACAAACAUGCUUCACAAGAACGUUAGAGUUGAACAAAGUCAGUAAAACUUCAUGGUAGAGUUGUCAAAUUGGAUGUAGAUAUGUACAUCGUAGAGGCCAGGCGUGUUGCCUCUUAGGACAUUGUACACUCAAGUAGCAGUUAAUCCUUCAAGGUAAGCUACGAAGUCAUAGUUAGAUUCAAAAUUCUAUAGUUUAAUUGCAUCUAAUUGAUGACUUACUAUCGUAUUUUCUUGAUGAGAAGAUUGGUAAUUGUUCAUGUUACGAGUAGUGCAGGGACUGCAGAAUUGGUGUAAAUUUUUUUUUUUAAAAAAAAAGGUGUAUGGAGGAUAGAGGAUUGACGACACCUUUGAUAUGCUUCACUUGGUUGGAGUAUCAAGUUUGGUGUCAUUCUUCUGCAUAGCCUCUCAAAAAUCUGUGAUAAACUUCUCCUAUGUUCUGAUCAUCACUAUGCUCUUGUUUCGAGUAUAACAAGAGUAACUUUUGAGCUAGCCAAUGUAGCUGAUACCUAAAGAGAACGAUGGGUUAGAAUGUGCUUGUGAUGUGCUUUUAGAGACACAUUUGUUCUAUUAUGUGGGUGUUGCAUCAAUAAUAUACGUGGUUGUAAUAUGUACAGAUAGCAGUGUAGUAGAGUAUUUUUACGUCCUCUUUUGCCUAUAUUGUACCAUCCUACUAUUUAGGAUUGUCUUUUUCAUUUUUAAGGAUGGAGCACUA